UCGUGCUAUUUCCCUGCCUAGAACUUCAAAGUUUUCCAACUGUUUGAAUAAAACCCAAACAAUGCCUGACGUCCAAUGAACGAAUGAUCUAGCCUCGGCCUACUUUUCAGGACCAAGCUUUGUCCCUGCCCGCGACGUCCCGUUAGGAACGUCCUACUCGCCACCACCGGCUCUGCUUAGGUUCAAACUCCAGGCCACUCUCCGCACUCCCUCUCUGGUUUCCAGCAGAAGAAGCGCAUUCGAGGAGGGGGCGAGAGGCGCUCGAUCUCUCGGGUUAGAGGAAAUGCAAGUUGGGCCAAUUUCCCCCUUCCAGACUCCCAGGCGGAUCGGCCCAGGGGGCAGCGGCAUUGCCCGGCGGCCACUGCCCGCCUCCUCCCCCGCGCUCCCCUGGCCAGGCUUUGAAGAGCGCGUUUUACGAACUUUUCCAUUUUGCUUCUGGAGGCGUGUUUGUUCUUCUCAGUCACCUCGCUUUUUUUUUUUUUUUUAUGAGCUUCAGCGCUGAUCUGCACGUUCUUCCCUCCGUGUAAUUUCAAUUUGAACUCUCCCCGGAGCGGCCUUUUCCCUCUUGUUGCCUGCCAAGUCGUUUGAAGGCUGCGCAAACAUUCUUCCUCCCUCCCGUCCGCGCGAGUCUUGGGUCUACACCCGCGAGGGGAGGUGGAGGCGGAUACUCCGAGAGUUCCAGUGGAUUGGAGCCUUUCAGCAGCCGCCUUCAGACUCUUUGGGAGGAGAGGUGAAACAUUGGAAUAAAUGCCCCUGCGACCACUCUUCUCAAGGGUUAUGGUGGACGUGUGUGUGUGUGUGUGUGUGUGUGUGUGUGUGAGAGUAUGUGUAAACAUUCCCUAACCCAUAUUAGAAGUCUUGGGAAGGGGGCUGGGUGCGGUGGCUCACACCUGAAAUCCCAGCACUUUGGCAGGCAGAGGCCGGAGGAUCACUUGAGGUCAGGAGUUCCGGACCAGCAUGGUCAACACAGUAAAACCACCUCUCUACUAAAAGUACAAAAAUUAGCCAGGUGUGGUGGUGUGUGCCUGUACUCUCAGCUACUCAGGAGGCUGAGUCAGGAAAUCACUCGAACCCAGGAGGCGGAGGUUUCAAUUAGCUGAGAUUGUGCCACUGCACUCCAGCCUGGGCAUCUCAAAAAAAGAGAAAAGUCUUGGGAAGGAAGACGUCGGAGACACACACAAGGAGUGAUGAUUGCACUGAAGGGCCAGCGAAAGAUGUGUGCUGGACAUGGCAAGAUAGGGGCGAGACAGACCAUGGUGAGGAGAAUGGCACCUACAAGACCUCCCAGACUGCUGUGUGCAGUUGAAAUCAAAGGCUGGAGAGCAGUGGCACAAUCACACCUCAUUGCAGCCUUGACUUCUUGGACGUCAGUGAUCCUCCCACCUUGGCCUUCUGAGUAGCUGGGACUACAGGCAUGCACCACCAAGUCCAGCUAAUAUUUAAACUUUUUUUUAUAGAGAUGGGGUCUCCCUAUGUUGCACAGGCUGGUCUCAAAAUCCUAGGCUCAAGCCAUCCUCCCACCUUGGCCUCCUAAACUACUGGGAUUACAGAGCUUCAGAAGCAGAUGCUGUGAGACUGUCUCUUCUUGAACUGAGACAGCGAGCGGUGUUCUCUGUCUGGUUCUCCAAUAGCUACAACAGCGGAGCCUUCAGCUGGCAUGGAAAAGAAAAUCCCAAGGCCUUUGAUCUCUAGUCCCAUCACCUUGAUUGGUCUCCAUGGUAACUACCAUACCCAGGUAGGUGGAGAAUGAGCCCCAUUGUUCCUUCCUCCCCACCUUCAUUCCACCUUAAUUACCCAGGCCUGGGUUUGCAUUCAGGAGCCAGGAAGACAUGCAUGUAGAUAAAGUGAUACACCUGCCUCCUCAUCCUCCUCUGUUCCUUUUUUUCCCCUGCCUUCUCUAGCUGCAAGAUGCCUCUAUUGCUCUCAUGGUUCUGGGUUCAAGUCUCAGUUAUCUGUGUGAUUUAAGCCCUAUGACCUGUACGGGGGGUACUUUGCACCUGAGAACCUGGUUUCCUCAUUUGUGAAUUGGGAGUAAAAAUAGUACCUACAUCUUAGGAUUGGAAGCUAAACACUGACCAGGCAUGGUGCCUCAUAUCUGCAAUUCCAACAUUUUGGGAGGUCGAGGUGGGAGGAUCACUUGAGUCCAGUAGUUCAGGACCAACUUGGUCAACAUAGUGAGAUCCUGUCUCUACAAAAAAAAAAAAAAUAUUUAGUCAGCCAUGAUGGCAUGCACCUGUGGUCCCAGCUACUCCAGAAGCUGAAGUGGGAGGAUUGAUUGAGCCUGGGAGGUUGAGGUUGCAGUGAACUGUUAUUGCACCACUGCCUGGGCAACUGAGUGACUCUGUCAAAGACAAAACAAUGGCCGGGCAUGUUGGCUCAUGCUUGUAAUCCCAGCACUUUGGGAGGCCAAGGCAGCUGGAUCAUUUGAGGUCAGGAGUUUGAGACCAGCUUGGCCAACAUGGUAAAAUCCUGUCUCUACUAAAAAUGCAAAAAUUAGCUGGGUGUGUUGGUGCACAUCUGUAAUCGCAGCAACUUGGGAGGCUGAGACAAGAGAAUCGCUUGAGCCUGGAAGGUGAGGUUGCAAUGAGCUGAAAUCAUAUCACUGCACUCCAUCCUGGGUGACAGAGCUAAUUUUUGUGUUUUAGUAGAGAUGGGGUUUCACCACGUUGGCCAUGCUGGUCUUGAACUCCUUACCUCAAGUGAACUCUUUACCUCAAGUGAACUCCUUACCUCAAGUGAUCUGCCUUCCUCGGCCUCUCAAAGUCUUGGGACUAUAAUAUGAGCCACUGUGCCUGGCCAACAUCACGUUCUCUAGGGUUCUUACUUGAUUUACCGAGAUGUUCACUUUAGCUGUUCCCAAAUCUUAUUAUCUGUUGCAUUGUAUGGCAGCCAUCCAUUUCCUUACCUGUAAUCACCUCCUGCAGUUUCUGAGCACACCUAGAAAGCUGGAUCUGUUUGGUGUUUAAUUCCCUGGCAGAGUAUUCUAGAACGUUCUUGAUAGAUGUUUGGAUAUAUUCAUUGCACAAAUAUUUACUGAGCAGCUUCUAUGUGUUGGGGAUUAUAGUUAUAGUUUAUGUUUAUAGGGAGUUUAUGUUCUAAUGUGGGUGGAUGCGUGGAUGCAGUCUCUAGAACGCCUGGCCGUCAGCAAUACAGAUCUUCUCGUAGUUCUCCAGACACGUGGGGCUUUCAUCUCUGCAUUUGCAUGUGCCAUUCCCACUGCUUAUGGCGUCCUUUCCCCAGUGUUUGCUUAAUCCCCACACCUGAGCUGGGCGGAAUAAAUCCUUGCUAUAAAUCACUGUGUCGGUGACCCUCUGGCAUUUUGAUAACUCGGUUUGAGCAGGGUUUUUUGAAUGUGUGGGUGUCCCUGGAAUGUGAACUGCCAGGGAAUCAGGAGAACAUCUAGCCCUUGACCUGUGCAGCUUCAGGAUGGGGGUCAGGGCUGGGCACUGAGGAAACCCUUAGCAGACAUGUGCUAAAGAAUGAGAGAGUGCAAUCACAUCCAUGCUCCUUCUGCUUCUGGCCGAGGACUGAUUUGACCUCCCAAGUUGCUGGGAUUAUAGGCCAAGAGACAUGGGUAUAAAACCUACUUUACUUUCUGAAGCUCAAUGAUAACAGCAAUUGACACAGUUAUCAAUAAGGAGGCAAUAAGGAGUGGGGGGACUGUGGCAAAAUACAGAGUCCUGUCUCAAGGGACCACCCCCCACUCAGCUCUAGCUGAUUACGACCUUGUAGAAAUGUAGGUUUAAUGUUGCUAAAACUUUCAAGUUUUCAAGAAAAGCUGGAAAAUUGGAUUUUUUUUCAGCGUGAAAGCUUCUGAUUUUUAAGUGUUGGCAAAUGAGUCAAAUUUUAAAAAAUAUAUUGUGUGCGCCAAAACUCUGUGAGCCAAACAUAACAA